UCUCGCGAGAUUUGAGGAGCCAAUCCGCGAUGUCUUCCCAGGUGCUAGGCUGAAGCAACAAGUGCUUAACAUGAGGCGAAACACAAGUCAAGACACAUGGAAACACGGGGAGACUUCAGUGUGCAGUAAAUGGAUUUAAAAUAGAUCACACUGAUGCUGUUAAUCCUUCAAGCCCCAAAACAUUCCCAUGGCUUUGGUCUUGCUCAUCAGUCUGAUGUCAUCCACCCGUGGAUUGAAUUUAACUACCCCCUCUUCUGAAUACCAAGUAGCACUAGGAGAAGACAUCAGCCUCGGAUGCCAUUUCACCCUUGAUCCUGUGGAUUUUGGUUCCUUGGAGAUUGAGUGGACCGUCGACCGUUCACAUGGUCGAGUGGAAAAGGAACACCUCAUCUGUUACAUUGAUGAUGUAGUGCACCACUUCUUAGGUUUUGAAGGCCGAUUCUACUUUUCCUAUCCAGAUCCCCAAGAUGGAGAUGCUUCACUAACCAUUACACGUAUUAAAAUCAUUGACAGUGGUAUUUGCCAUUGUAAAGUAACAAAGGGUAGGGAAAUCCAAAGCAGGCAGACUAAGCUGAUGGUAAUGGAGGAGGUGUCUGUGCCAGUUCAUGGUUCCAAUGGUGGCACAAUGUGGACUUAAAGCUGAGGAACAGGUCUUCAUUAGUCACCACCUUCCCUGCAAACUGCAGUUUGUGGACAUCUACCGAAACUUCUGCAAGCACUCAAGAAGACUUGUCUUCACAAGGCAAUGCAAAAAAUACCACAGGAACCACCACAGGAACUAUCACAGGAACCUACCGAGAUUUUGGAAAGGUCCAUGACAUUGCUGAAACCCCCACGGUUGAUUUAAGCCUCACCACGGAAUCUCAAAACACUUCAUCACAGGAUAGGGGAGUAUCGAUCGGAGUGGCUGCUACCAUUACUUUCAUUGUCAUAAUUUCAGCAGGCACAAUUUUCUCCUGCCGGAAACAAAAAAGACAGCAGAAGUCUGAAGAAAAUGUCUCAGCUGAUGAAGCAAAGUGUGCCCGUACACAGCCAGAAAGGACCGCGAUUGUAGACAUUGUGGAGAAGACCUGGAAUUUGUGGGAGAAAAUGGGCAUGGAACUUGAAGACAUACCCAAAAACCUUAUGGACAUUAAGGGGAUUCCACAAGAUUCCACAGAAGAGGUACCUUAAACACAGAAUGUUGAUUUUGAGGAUGUACAGGUUAUGGGAGCAUUACCUCCAGAGGUGACCAGCUUGUGAGCUUUAAUUCAGCCCAAAGUAAGGCAUCUGUUAGACUGAGAAAGAUUUUACCCUAAAGGGUCUUGUACAGACAAGUUUGGUCUCAUCACAGUUGUAUACUGAGAAAAUGGAUUGGCCCUUCUGAGCCACAGGACCACUUGGGGCCAUCACUGAAUUGAAAAUGGUUGUAAUGUUAAUAGAAGAAUGUAUUACAUUACAUUCUGACAUAAUGUAUCAUAGCUAGAAUUUGGUUAUAGUAUGGUCACAUGGAAAUGUUGAUUUUCAACAGCUAUCAUACAAAGAUAGUGGAAAAUAUUGACUUGUUGGGUGUUUUCCCCUGGAUAUACUUAGAUAGUGGACCAAAGUGUGUAUACUGAGAUAUUGGAUGCUGAUACUUCAUAAAUAGGGAUACAGAGAUCCAACUCUUGUUAAUGUUUCCAAUGUUAAGUGAAGUUUGAGUUCACUUUGGUUAAAUAAACUUUUCUCGAGUU